rnacentral:rRNA from 1 species
CGCUGGCGGCAUGCCUAACACAUGCAAGUCGAACGGUAACAGGUCUUCGGAUGCUGACGAGUGGCGCACGGGUGAGUAACGCGUGGAUAUCUGCCUAUGAGUGGGGGACAACUUUCGGAAACGAAAGCUAAUACCGCAUAAUCUCUACGGAGCAAAGCAGGGGACCUUUCGGGGCCUUGUGCUUAUAGAUGAGUCCGCGUCAGAUUAGCUAGUUGGUGGGGUAAGAGCCUACCAAGGCGAUGAUCUGUAGCUGGUUUGAGAGGAUGAUCAGUCACACUGGAACUGAGACACGGUCCAGACUCCUACGGGAGGCAGCAGUGGGGAAUUUUGCACAAUGGGGGAAACCCUGAUGCAGCGAUGCCGCGUGUGGGAAGAAGGCCUUUGGGUUGUAAACCACUUUCAAUUGGGAAGAAGGGAUGAGGAUUAAUAAUCCUCUGACUUGACGGUACCUUUAGAAGAAGCACCGGCUAAUUUCGUGCCAGCAGCCGCGGUAAUACGAAAGGUGCAAGCGUUGUUCGGAUUUACUGGGCGUAAAGAGAUCGUAGGUGGUUUGUUAAGUUGGAUGUGAAAUCCCGGGGCUCAACCUCGGAACUGCAUCCAAAACUGGCAGACUUGAGUUCGGGGAGGGGUAAGCGGAAUUCCGUGUGUAGCAGUGAAAUGCGUAGAUAUACGGAGGAACACCUGAGGCGAAGGCGGCUUACUGGACCGAUACUGACACUGAGGAUCGAAAGCGUGGGUAGCAAACAGGAUUAGAUACCCUGGUAGUCCACGCCCUAAACGAUGUCAACUAGCCGUUGCGGGUAUCGACCCCUGCAGUGGCGCAGCUAACGCGAUAAGUUGACCGCCUGGGGAGUAC